GAGUUUGAUCGUGGCUCAGAUUGAACGCUGGCGGCAGGCCUAACACAUGCAAGUCGAGCGGUAGAGAGAAGCUUGCUUCUCUUGAGAGCGGCGGACGGGUGAGUAAUGCCUAGGAAUCUGCCUGGUAGUGGGGAUAACGCUCGGAAACGGACGCUAAUACCGCAUACGUCCUACGGGAGAAAGCAGGGGACCUUCGGGCCUUGCGCUAUCAGAUGAGCCUAGGUCGGAUUAGCUAGUUGGUGAGGUAAUGGCUCACCAAGGCGACGAUCCGUAACUGGUCUGAGAGGAUGAUCAGUCACACUGGAACUGAGACACGGUCCAGACUCCUACGGGAGGCAGCAGUGGGGAAUAUUGGACAAUGGGCGAAAGCCUGAUCCAGCCAUGCCGCGUGUGUGAAGAAGGUCUUCGGAUUGUAAAGCACUUUAAGUUGGGAGGAAGGGCAGUAAAUUAAUACUUUGCUGUUUUGACGUUACCGACAGAAUAAGCACCGGCUAACUCUGUGCCAGCCGCCG
rnacentral:rRNA from 1 species